rnacentral:tRNA from 2 species
CGGGAUUUAGCGCAGUUGGUAGCGCACACGUCUGGGGGGCGCGAGGUCGCUGGUUCGAGUCCAGUAAUCCCGACGA